GUUCAUCCACACACUUCUACACUACCCUGUGUUUUUAUGGCAUUUGUACCUUUUUUGGACCAAUUUUCAAAGGUCCAAGCUUCAUGAAGACGAAUAGCAGCACCUUGUUGAAUAGCUAUAAUGGGGAGAAAGCUUCACUUCACUUCACAUCACGGCUGCUGGCAAAGGGAGAGAGGAGGAGCUCAGAGCGGCGCUGCAGCUCUUCGGGUGCUCAGAAAAGAGAGAGAGAGAGAGAGAGAGAGAGAGAGAGAGAGAGAGAGAGAGACUCAGACUCCCCGUCCGCGGUUCUCUCCUCGUCAGUUCGCUCCAGGCUCGCGGCUCUUUCGGAAGGAUGCGCGCGCUCCCGGUGCUCUUCUCCGUAGCUGCUCUCCUCCUGCACUCCA